rnacentral:rRNA from 1 species
UACAGAGGUCCCAAGCGUUGUUCGGAUUCACUGGGCGUAAAGGGUGCGUAGGCGGUUGGGUAAGUCUGACGUGAAAUCUCCGGGCCUAACCCGGAAACGGCGUUGGAUACUAUCCGGCUAGAGGGAUGGAGGGGAGACUGGAAUACUUGGUGUAGCAGUGAAAUGCGUAGAUAUCAAGUGGAACACCAGUGGCGAAGGCGAGUCUCUGGACAUUUCCUGACGCUGAGGCACGAAAGCCAGGGGAGCAAACGGG